rnacentral:tRNA from 1 species
UCCCUGGUGGUUCAGUGGUUAAGACUCUGUGCUCCCAAUGCAGGGAGCCCAGGUUUGAUUCCUGGUCAAGGGA